CAACUCUUUGACAGAUGUUGGGAACGACUUUUCCUCCCGUCUUUAUCUCUGCUCUCCUCUGCAUGUAGAGAGUCGUGUUGGAGUGUGACCUGCGACUCUAUCGGCAGAGUCACUCUCACGCCAACGAGGACUACCUGAGCCUGCAAGGGAACGAGCGGAAGCUGCAGGGGCGCUGCAGCGAGCAGGCGGAGCGGCUUGUGGAGUGUGAAAAGGUUAUUCUACAGAUGAAAUCAGAGCUGGAGAGACAAAACCAAGAGCAGGGCAGUCCGAAGCAAAAUCUUGUCACGUCCUGCCGUGCACACCUAAGCCGGCGUGGACAAUGGGAACAGGAAGUGACGCGGCUGAAACAGGAACUUGCACACUUAGAGCGUGAGCUUGCUGACAGC